rnacentral:lncRNA from 1 species
AAACCAUCCGUCUUCAUCAUCAUGAACAGGAACAUCAUCAUCAUUGUAGUAUACUUGCCACACACACCCAUAGAAUCGUCCAUUUAUCUUUUGGAUCUACAAAAAAAUGAACUGUUAACACACAAUGCAUUGACAUGAUGCAAGUACUGAUAUAGGCAGGAUAUUAGUCACUUACAAAGGUUGACAUGCACAACCAAAUCUGCAUUACCAAGAGUUGCAGUUUUUGCGACUCUGUACCUAAUCUUCAGUUUUCACAAGUGCCAUCUCGACAUGCACUACCUAGAAUUCAUUAGUAAUUUCAGCACCAUCAAGUUCAAAUUUAGGAUCACAAUUUACAACUAUAGCAAGAGCUACAUUUCUAUUAUGAUUUUUUAGGCUCGUUAAAAAUACUUUUUUUUCCUGCCUGUUAGAGAAAAUAAAAGUUACCAUGGGCAGAAUCAUGUCAAGCAAAAUAAUUAAUAGAAACAUGACAUAUAACACAAAAUGUUGAGAGGCAAAGACAUGUCGUGUUUGCAUCUUUUCCUCUACUUUAUGGUUAUGAAUACAUUCUUCCACAUGUUAAUCUCAUGAUGUGCAACAUCUAUGAAAUUCUAUGAAGCCUUUCACUACAAACAAAGUAGUUUUGGUGAUGAACGCUUAAAGUAAUUAAACUUCAUAUGAUACCUUUAAUGUAGAACACAAAGAUAGACAUUUUUAUUCGAGUAGCAGUAUGGUAUGAUAAACUGCAAAAUUCUGAGGCACCUACUGGAAGAUAGAGAAGCAGUGUGUUUGACCAUUAAUCAAGUAACAAAAUAUUACUAUAUCAAUACUUGGGACAUAUUAAGCCAAAAGAUAAAUUAAAUUUACCAAAUUAGUACAAAUAAAACAUAUUAGACAAUAAAAAGAAGCUUUGAAGCAUAAGAUCCAUCAUAAAUGAGGUACUCCCAGUACCGACCCAAUGAUUUUGCAUGCACUGCAGCGAGGACAGCAGGGCGGAUCAAGCAUUAGUUCAUAUUUACCACCAACUCCUAAUAAAAUAGCUAGUAUAUAUCCAGAUCAAACUAUAACUAGCACAUCUGAGCAGAUAAAUCAAAGGCAGUGACACUAUUAAGAAAAGGAGAAGACACAGCAGAGAAAACAAGACUGUAGUAUGUUCGAACAAAUAAUUAGGAUGUCUUGUUUGUAGACUACAAAUACAAAUCAGAUAGAUAUAUGGUGAUAUAUUUAAUUGGAAGUUGCAGGCAUCCAAAAAAUAAUAUUGAAUAUGGUCUAAUAAUUGAAGGACACUACAGAUGGACGGUGCCUAUUAAAGUGAUAUUGAAACAAUUGAAAUUAUUUUUCUUUUUCUUUUUGCAAUCCAUCAGUACAUGACCUCAUGAUGAAUCAGAAACAUGUUAGUAUUUAUAAAGUGGCCAUAGGCUACAAAUUUACUUCUGUUUUCCCCAUGGUGUGUAUUCUUCGUUGUAAAUAAAAAACACUUCAAGAGAAUAAAGGAGUGACACUACGGAUGUAGGCAAGCAUAGUAUAAAGAGGAAGCACGAACCACAAAAGAAGUGUCUAGAAUUUGGUAAACUAGCAGACAGAACCAUAUAUGUAUACGUUGUUAAUAAUAGAAGAAGGGGGCAUCAAUCAAAUUCCAAAAGCCAAGUGAAUAAAUGGAAAACACCUAUGGUUUUGUAUUCCUGGAACACAAUCUAGUUCAGUUAUCUUUAAAAAAUACAGAAGUCAGAUAGGUUGUAAUAGGUGUGAAAUUUAUCUAACAUGUCACUUGAGUAAAUAAGUACUAAUUGUCUCAGCGUAGUUUUAUAAGAUUUAUUUCCCUUCUACUGUAUUUAGGGGUUACGCAGUAAACAAAUUUCUGUUCAUAAAUCAUAAGUAAAUUGCAAGAUCCGCUUGCAUAAAAAAAUUGAUAUGACAUUCAGCUCACAUAAACAUCUUUUUCAAUGGCAAGCAUAGCUCAUGGUAGAUGUACUCAAUAAUAGAUUACAGAGUUUUGUGACAAGAAACAGUGAUUGAUCACCAGAUUACCUUCCUUUCGAUCUUGAACUCUAACUGUAGUGGGGAGAAAGCCUUAUGCAGCUGAGUGCUAAUUUCACCAGAUGUUGAUGGAUGAUAAUGCGGAGAACUGUGGAUCAGAAGCCCUCAGAUCCAACAAGUACUCAGCUUUGCCAUGCUCUACACCGAUAUCCUUCUCCCACAGCGUCGCGGCAGCCUAGUCGACCAAGCUGCGUAAAGCUGUCAACCUGCUCCUCAGUUUGUAGUAGCAGAG